UUCUAGCCCAGAUUGCAACGGAAAUCCUUUUGCUUUUUUCUUUAGAAAGCAAAAGAUUGAAGAGGAAAGCUGGAAAUAGC
rnacentral:sRNA from 1 species